rnacentral:rRNA from 1 species
AAUAUUGGACAAUGGGGGGAACCCUGAUCCAGCAAUGCCGCGUGUGUGAAGAAGGCCUGAGGGUUGUAAAGCACUUUCGUUUUUGAAGAAGUGAACUGGGUUAAUACCCUGGUUUGUUGACGUUAGAGAAAGAAGAAGCACCGGCUAACUCUGUGCCAGCAGCCGCGGUAAUACAGAGGGUGCGAGCGUUGUCCGGAAUCACUGGGCGUAAAGGGCGCGUAGGUGGCCCGACAAGUCAGUGGUGAAAGUUCGACGCUUAACGUCGAAUCGGCCACUGAUACUGUUGGGCUGGAGCACUGUAGAGGCUCAUGGAAUUCCGGGUGUAGCGGUGGAAUGCGUAGAGAUCCGGAAGAACACCGGUGGCGAAGGCGGUGAGCUGGGCAGUUGCUGACACUGAGGCGCGACAGCGUGGGGAGCAAAC